CCCUCACCGCGCGUCGCCGUGCGCCGCCAGCGGCCACCCUGCCGGCGCGCCUACCCCUCGCCGAUCGGCUACACGCGGUUGAUGCUCGAGCGCACCAUCUGGAUCCCUUCAACGCGGCGGCUCGAGCGGUGGGGGUGGCACGGCUGCUCGAUGUAGAACGGCGGCGGCGGCGACUGGAGCUUGCAGGGGCCGGAUCCGUGCGUGGUAGGGGUUGGGGAGGCUAAUCCGAAGGCGGGCGGCGAGGCGGGGGUCGCCGGUGACGACGAGGAAAUCCAGAGUGAGAGAUCUGGCAACCUAGGCAGGAACUCGCCGGAGCCAGGCGAUGGCGGACGGGUGUGUGAGAUGGAGGGAUCCGGCGUGGCAGCGCGAAUUCCUGGCAGGUAGAGAGCUCCAAGCCAUGGCGGCUCUUCAGUUUUCCCCGGUGGAAAAGAGAGAAAGAGGAGGAUUAAGGGAGGAGGAGAGGUAGGGAGAAGAAGGUGCAGGUGCGAGCUUGGGGAAGAGGGAGUCGAACGUCAAGUGAGAGACAGGGAGGAUCAGGCAUUCUUCUUAGCCAGCGUGUUGUAGGUACUUUCCAGCAGGCGUGUACAUCCUUGCUCUUUCUCUUCUUUCGGUUUUAGCAGAGAGGAGGCUGCAAGGGGAGAGGAACGGUGCAUUGAGGUUGAGGAACACAUGACACAUUGGGACCAGGGAGCUCGAGAAGAGGCUCGAUCGAUCUCGACAAGAAGUGAUCUCCACUUGGUGACAGUACGUACUAGAUGGCUUCUCUAGGCUCCUGUCAUAGACCUGGAGAAGGCAAAGAAUAUCAUCUCCAAAGUGUUCAGUGCAGAGAAGAUGAACCAUGCAAAAACUCAGGCUGGACCACCGGGACUUCACUGCUGGUAGAACGACAGAGGGCUUGGCUGCUACCAGGGUGAUCCAAAUGGAGUAUCUAGGUAGCGUGUUUGUGGCCUCUUGCACUAACAUGAUUAAUUGUAGCUUCUAUUCCAUGACAUGAUUUUUGCAGCUGUAAUGAUAUGUUUCAUGCGAGAGGACAUAAAUUUGCAUCCUAUUUUUCUGUCCAAUUAGUUCAAAUCACAAAUGUUUGUGCUCUUAGUGACAAUUUGGUGGAAAAGACGAGUCAUAUAUACAGCCAAUGUGUUAAUUUCUGUGAUGCGGCAAGCAAAGUUGGCAAUAGUACAGUAUAACCAUCAUGAUCUCACAGGGAUAUCACCUAUGUGCAUAAAUCAUAAUCAUUCGGUUUUUAUUUGGCAAGCUGGAGCUACCCGGAACUUUCGAUUUUGGUUCCAAGGUGGAUGGAUUGAACUGGGUGACCCACUGUCAGGUCAUAAAUCACUUCUUUUGUUGAAGGAAGAGACUCCAUUUGCUGCCGAGGACCAAAUCGCACUAACUAAUCUGUUACUUGCUUAGAAGAAAUUGAGAAAGGGGAGCAUCUUACACCUAAUAGGAAGUGGUGGUCUAAUCCCAACCUCACCCAAUAAACGUACAUUACUAUAAAAUUUGCUUGCAUGCCGCCGCCUAUAUUUUUUCAUUACUAUCAUAACCUUUUUAGAUCAAGCAUGUCAUGCAUUACAUUUCAUUAUGUAUAUUGCAACUUCAAGACCACAAUUCCUCGGUAUGUAACAUCUGUAUGUUGACUAUUUUUUCGAAUUGAGUUAUGUAUUCAAAACUAUUAUUCCGCAUAGACAUCAUUUGAAAAUCA